rnacentral:rRNA from 1 species
GACGAACGCUGGCGGCGUGCUUAACACAUGCAAGUCGAACGGAAAGGCCCUGCUUUUGUGGGGUGCUCGAGUGGCGAACGGGUGAGUAACACGUGAGUAACCUGCCCUUGACUUUGGGAUAACUUCAGGAAACUGGGGCUAAUACCGGAUAGGAGCUCCUGCUGCAUGGUGGGGGUUGGAAAGUUUCGGCGGUUGGGGAUGGACUCGCGGCUUAUCAGCUUGUUGGUGGGGUAGUGGCUUACCAAGGCUUUGACGGGUAGCCGGCCUGAGAGGGUGACCGGCCACAUUGGGACUGAGGUACGGGCCAGACUCCUACGGGAGGCAGCAGUGGGGAAUAUUGCACAAUGGGCGGAAGCCUUAUGCAGCAACGCCGCGUGCGGGAUGACGGCCUUCGGGUUGUAAACCGCUUUCGCCUGUGACGAAGCGUGAGUGACGGUAAUGGGUAAAGAAGCACCGGCUAACUACGUG